AAGCUCUCCAUAUAAUCAUAAUGAAAGGUACGGGUCGUGUUACCUGAGUUUUACCUUUUUAGUUCAAUCACUAACCCAAAUCUUCCGACCGGUCGGUUAUGUUUGGUUUAAUUUGGUAUAUUGGAGAAUCAAUGAAUUGGUAGUGUGAGAGAGGAGAGGAUGGUAGAAGUUAGGUGCUUUGCUUGAAAGAGGAGACUGUCACUUUACCUAAUUCAAUGUCUAAGUUUGGUCAGUCGAUCUCUUCUUCAAGCAAAACCCCUUUAAAGCUGACAUCCCAAUUUCCAUCCAUCCAUCUGUUUCUUGUUGCUAACUCCUUUCUCAGACCUUUUCUUUUUUAAUAAUUGUCUUUUUCCUAUCAAAUUUACACA